rnacentral:rRNA from 1 species
UACGGAGGGAGCUAGCGUUGUUCGGAAUUACUGGGCGUAAAGCGCACGUAGGCGGCUUUGUAAGUUAGAGGUGAAAGCCCGGGGCUCAACCCCGGAAUUGCCUUUAAGACUGCAUCGCUUGAAUCCGGGAGAGGUGAGUGGUAUUCCGAGUGUAGAGGUGAAAUUCGUAGAUAUUCGGAAGAACACCAGUGGCGAAGGCGGCUCACUGGACCGGUAUUGACGCUGAGGUGCGAAAGCGUGGGGAGCAAACAGG